UUCAGCACCGGGGCGCCUCUGGGGCCGGGGCUGCAGAGUGUAAGCUGCCAGUGUAGACGUUCACUUAGAAAUAGCAUCACAACACGGCCUUUGUAGCAACUUUCCACACUCCAUCACCGUGAGGGGCAGCAGGGCAGGGCCUGCCGUCUUCACUUCACAGCCCAGAAUCAGACUACAGAAAUGGGUGACAUACAAAAUUCUGAAAUGAGUGGGAUCACCAGAUACACAAUCCUUCCAGAAGUUCUGGACACUAGAAACCCAAAAUCUAGGUAUUGGCAGGACCAUGCUCCCUCUGAAGUUCUAGAAGAAGGUCCUUCCUUUCCUCUGAUGUUUCUAGAGUUUUCCUUCUGGUCCCAGCAUUUCUUGGCCGAUGGAUGCAUCACUCCAAUCUCGGUCUCUGUGGUCAUAUUGUAACAGAGUGGUCCCCAGGAAAGGGGAAGGUUCCAGGUUCCCUGCCCUACCCAAAUGGAGGGUGGAGCUGAGCAGGGAGAGAAGAAGCUGCAGAGGAGACUGAGGAAGGAAGGAAGCAGGAUGGAGAUCCAGAAGGAGACCUGGAAGAGGCACAUGGGGCCGAGAGACAUGUGAAGAAACUGCGCUUGCAUUUUGGUCGUGGACGGGGUGAUACAGAUGUGAGUGAGAGACCCCUGGGGAGGUGACAAUGGCAGCUUUUAUCUUGAUUUUGAUUUUGCUCUUUUCCUUCUGGGCUUGUCUGGUUGUUUCUGACCCUUUUCUGUGGGUCCCCACUCGAAGAUGCUUUAGACUUGUGGCAGGCUUUGGGGCCUUGCUCUGGGCCAAUCCCAUUUGGGUGGAUUUUUACCCACAAGGGGACGGGUAACAUUGGGUGCUUGAUUUAGAAACUAUAUUCUUUGCCUUUUCUGUAUUGUUUCCUAAUUGUA